UGCGAGUAACGCACGCGGCCUCCUUGCCGGACUUGCCCUUUUUUUUUUCCUCUCUCUCUUCGCUCGCCUCCUGCAUGCCGAGGGCCGGCCAGUGUUAGCGCGAAGAGAGGCGGGUGCCAUCGGACGGUUUGCAUCGCCCUCCGUGCACAUCACUACACACGACAGCAAGUGCGCACCUUUCACUUCUCCUCCUCCUCUCCACACACACGAUGACGAAGCUGCCGCAGAGCUGUGCUCCGUGGAGGCUCAUCGACAUUGGCCUGAACCUCACAGACCACAUGUACAAGGGCGUGUACAAUGGACGCCAGCAGCACACCUCAGAUAUCGAGUCGAUACUGCAGCGUGCUGUAGAAGUGGGCGUGCGCGGUCUCCUCCUCACAGGUGGUAACUUGAUGGACAGCAAGGCUGUGAUCGAUAUGUGCGCCCGCUACAACUCCGACACGCUGCAGUGUUUCUGCACUGUCGGAUGUCACCCGACGCGAUGCCAAGAGUUUGUGGACGAUCCGGACGGUUACCUGAAGGCCCUUGAUGACCUCGUCCGCAAGCACUCCGUUCAUGUCGGCGGCUGCGUCGCGGCUGUGGGCGAGAUUGGUCUUGACUACGACCGUCUGUCCUUCUGCCCGAAGGAAAUUCAGAAGGAGUACUUUGAAAAGCAACUUGUGAUGGCGAAGCGGCACCGCCUGCCACUGUUCCUGCACGAACGCAACACAGUCGGUGACUUCAAGGUACUGCUCGAGCCGCAUCUUCCCGAGCUCGCUGGUGGCGUCGUUCAUAGCUUCACUGGCAGCCGGGCGGAGCUGCAGGAGUACCUGGAUGCGAACCUGUACAUUGGCGUGAACGGGUGUAGUCUCAAGACCGCGGAGAACCUCGAGACAGUCAAGGCGAUUCCGCUCGAUCGACUGAUGCUGGAGACCGACGCGCCCUGGUGCGAGCUCAAGGGCACACACGCCUCGAAGGCACUCUUGACAGCUGCGGCGAAGCGCGCCUCAUCGCAGCAGAGCGUGUCAGAUACCAUCCUCGCCGCGUUUCCGACGUGCCGCAAGGACAAGUUUAAAAAAGGGUGUGUCGUGAAGGGGCGCAAUGAACCGUGCGCGAUUGUGCGGGUACUCGAGGUGGUGUACGAGCUGCGCCGCGAGGAGGUGUCGUCGAUGGAGCAGCUGGCUGAGGUGGUCCUGACGACCACGCGAAAGCUGUUCCCUUUUGCGGCAUCUGCGGUGUGAGGCACGCGGCAACACUCCCGGUCAAAACAUUCCGUUCUCUCUUCGUUUCUCUGUGUUUUGGUCCCUGUGAAGGCGCAGCACUCGCAAGCGGAUCUGCGUGCAGUUUGCACCAGUGGGCUCGCGCGUCAUUUUAUUCACAAGUCUGCCAUGCCUUUCUGGCUCACAUACAGACAAAACACGCGCACACACG
rnacentral:misc_RNA from 1 species